CUCAGACUUGCAACAUGGCCAAGUAAAUACUUAUUUUCUCCACUGUAUAUGCGGGGGGACACUGUAUUUCUUGGCAGUCUGGAUGCCGUGUAGAACCAAACAGCCUCUCACAGGGCCAGGAUCGAACGUGGCCACCUCUCCCGCCAGCAAGCACGAGAACCGCGACCACCGUGUGAGGUCUCCCACGCACAUUCCCCCAAUUUUCAUCAAUGAACUCCAUACAAGACACCUGAGAGCAGGACUUCAGUGGAAAGCCAAGCCGAAGAGAGAAGAAGAAUGCAUGCUGAAUAAGUAAAUGGAAUUCCAGGGCGAGGUCCCAGCGAGGUCACUGCCAAGAAGACACACUACCCAGGUGUACUGUAUGGGGUGGCAGUUAGUGAGCAUAGCUAGAAAACCGGCUGGCGACAUCCUUCUCUCCCAGGCGUUGCCGUGGAGAUGAAUGACACCAGAUAAGGAGCGGAAAGUUACCAUCCCGGCCCA